AGAAACCCUGCACUGCCAGGGCCACGCCAGAGGGAAAAGCCUCAGCCGUUGCCCCGCCCCGCCCCGCGAGGCCCGAGAGGAGGAUGGCGGAGGCCCCGCCCACUUUCCCACCGAGCGCGGGGGGCGGUGCCGCUUAUAUCCACCCUUAUUGCCUCACCGCGCAAGCUGCUGUCGCGCAGACUAGCUGCAGGGAUGCUCCUGAGACUCCAGUGUACCGAAUUUGGAUCCGUUAAGGCAUGCCUUGGAGAUACUUUGGGUUUGGUUCCAGACCAUGGCAAUAAAGCAAAUAUCACAAUAAAGUGAGUCAAAUGAA